rnacentral:rRNA from 1 species
UACAGAGGUCCCAAGCGUUGUUCGGAUUUAUUGGGCGUAAAGGGUGCGUAGGCGGCGGAGUAAGUUGGGUGUGAAAUCCCGGGGCUCAACCUCGGAAUGGCAUUCAAUACUGCUUCGCUAGAGUACUGGAGAGGAGGCUGGAAUUUACGGUGUAGCAGUGAAAUGCGUAGAUAUCGUAAGGAAGGCCGGUGGCGAAAGCGAGCCUCUGGGCCGUAACUGACGCUGAGGAGCGAAAGCGUGGGGAGCGAACAGG